GACACCAUGGCCGAAUGGUUAAGGCAGCGAGGAUACGUGAAUGUGAAAUGUGCCAGUGAUUACCUUGUUCUUGCAGGUUCAAUUCCUGCUGGUGUUA